rnacentral:sRNA from 1 species
UAACGUUAUGGUUGCCAGAGUUUGAUU